GUGCCAGCCGCCGCGGUAAGACGGGGGGAGCGAGCGUUGUUCGGAAUCACUGGGCGUAAAGGGCGUCUAGGCGGGCCGGUAAGUCAGAGGUGAAAUCUCCCGGCUCAACUGGGAGCUUGCCUUUGAAACUGUCGGCCUUGAGUGCGGGAGAGGUGCGGGGAAUUCCCGGUGUAGCGGUGAAAUGCGUAGAUAUCGGGAGGAACGCCGGUGGCGAAGGCGCCGCACUGGCCCUGCACUGACGCUGAAGCGCGAAAGCGUGGGGAGCGAACAGGAUUAGAUACCCUGGUAGUCCACGCCGUAAACGAUGGGCACUAGGUGUGGGAGGUCUUGACCCCUUCCGUGCCGAAGCUAACGCAUUAAGUGCCCCGCCUGGGGAGUACGGCCGCAAGGCUGAAACUUAAAGGAAUUGACGGGG
rnacentral:rRNA from 1 species